ACAUGAGAACUCAUGGUUUGGGAUAAUGCAAAGUAGUCCUUUGACCUGAGGCAUCACCGUUGUCUUGUGGUUAAGUCCUUGAUCUUUGAUUAUGUCAUAGUCACCCUAUCGGGGUGUCCACGGCAUCGUUGGGGUUAAGCCACUUAGUCAUGGAGGCAAGUGAAUGCGCAACAAGGGAUCUUUAACCUUCAAACCGUUUGAGGGAGAAUACUCUAUGAUAUGAUUUAGAAUCUCUGGCCAGAGU
rnacentral:lncRNA from 1 species